rnacentral:rRNA from 1 species
UACGUAGGGUCCGAGCGUUGUCCGGAAUUACUGGGCGUAAAGCGCGCGCAGGCGGCCCGCGAGGUGUCACGUGAAAGCCCCGGGCUCAACCCGGGAGGGUCGUGGCAAACCGGCGGGCUUGAGGCCGGUAGAGGUGGGUGGAACUCCUGGUGGAGUGGUGAAAUGCGUAGAGAUCCGGAAGAACACCAGUGGCGAAGGCGGCCCGCUGGGCAGUGGCUGACGCUGAGGCGCGACAGCGUGGGGAGCAAACAGG